rnacentral:lncRNA from 10 species
CGGGCUGGCACGGGGCCUGAUGCUGACUUGCACAAGGGAAGCCUCCUGUCUCUGACUUCCCCAGGAUAAUUCCUGGGGAAAGUGUGCUCCCUAGUGUUAAGAGCGGUUUAAUGGCUGGAGGGUUUCAGCGGGCUGACCAGGCAGAGAAGGAGGGUGAAUCACCUCUCAGCACUCUCCACUUAGACUUUGUGUGGUCGUCGGGUGGUCAAACCUUCUAACUAGUUGUAUUGCAGAUUUGGCAUUCCAGUGCAAACAAAAGACAGAAACACAAUGUUCACAUGCUUUCCAGAGAUCACCUGGAUAUCAGAUCAUUUGAUUUUCAAGGAUCUAAUAUAACUCCUGCUAUCCAAAGAAUCUGAAGAUAUUAAACAGCAUCAAGAAUAGUCUGAUGUUUUGGAGAAUCGUGUGUUGAAAAUUAUAAAAGUUGGAACAACACUGGAAUAAGAACAUUUUACUGAGUUUUUAUGAUAAAUCCUACUUUGUGCAAGGACCCUGGAAAAAGAUAGGAUAAGUAAAUACGUAUGAAAUUUUCCACACUUAAAACUGAAUAUGGCAAAAAGACAAAAAGGAAUAACAUUUACUUGGUAAAUACUAGAAUGGGAUACUAGAAGAUUGCCUACAAUUUCCAUCCUUAACUUUCAGAGUUAUUCAUUUUGUUAUUGGUAAAGCUUCUCCAGUCUUAGGGAUCUGCAAUACCAUCUCAAUACUUCUUACACAACCUAUGUAUUUUACAACAGUGUGAGUAUAUAUUAGGUGAAAAUAACCAAUUUUUUGAGAUAGAAUCAUAAUCCUGUUUUAGAUAUCAAAGUAGGGUAACUUUUGCAUUUAGAACUUUGUUAGACACUUGUCUUUGUACAAGAAGGUAUUGAAUUAGAUGAUUUUUUAGCCAUAGCUCUCAGUUGCAGGGAUCUAUGAUGUGUAAGUUAAAGUUUAAAAUAAGGGAAAUAUAUAGAAAAUACUAUAAUUAGUGAAUAAAAUAUUUGUUCAUUUCCAAAAGAUGCAAAUUAUGUUACUUGCAACCAGUGUCUGGCCCUUGUUCACACCUUCUUCUAAACGUGUUGCUUCAAUACGUUGAUAGGUGAGGACACUUAAAAAUUAGACUUUAUAGAAAUAGGUUUUUUUUUGUUUACAUAUAUAGUUCUUUUGGUAUCAUAUAUUUAGCCUCUUUCUAAAAUUUAUUUUUUGAUACUGAAGGGAGAAAUAGGGAGUUAUUAAUCAACAGGCAUUAAUUUUAGUCAAGCAAAAUAAAUAAGCUGUAGCGAUCUGCUCUGUAACAUUGUACCUACAGCCAACAAUUAUAUGUUGUCCACUUAAAAAUGUGUUAGAUCUCAUAGCAACUCUUCUUACCACAAUAAAGUAAAAAUUCUGAAACAAUAAGUGAAUACCUAAAUAAUACAAACAAAUACAAUAUUGUAGUUUUGGGCACUUAAUAAAUGACAGCCUCAUUUCUCAAUUAGAGAUCAUCACAAGUUAGACAGAUGACGAUGAUCACAAAAGUUAGACUUUUUUAUUACUCACAAAGUCUAUGUUGGAGAAGGUGAGUUUCCCAAUACCCACCCUAAGAAUUAGAUACUUUCCUUUAAAUUUACAUAAUGGAAAAACAGAGAGAAUGAGCAUGAUCUGUAGCUAGGCAGAUAUGGAAGAAAUGAAGAAGAGAAAGACUUAACUGAGCAGUCCAAGUGCCUCUCCCAAACUCCAAACUCACCAAUGAGACACGUCGUUUCUCCUCUAUGAGAAGAAAUAAGUGAAGCACAGCAGAAAGCUGCCAGGGAUGUUGCUCUAAUUGAGCUCCCUCUAUGUAAAAGCAAAGGAAAGAAGCACUCUCAUCCCCACUUGCUCAACAAAAAAUAACUUUCCCAACCUAUCAUUGAAAUGACUGGCCGGGCACCGUGGCUCACAGCACUUUGGGAGGCCGAGACAGGCGGAUCACCUGAGAUUGGGAGUUCGAGACCAGCCUGACCAACAGGGAGAAACCCCGUCUCUACCAAAUAUAUGAAAAUUAGCCGGGCGUGGAGGCGCACGCCUGUAAUCCCAGCUACUCGGAAGGCUGAGGCAAGAGAAUUACUUGAAUCCGGGAGGCGGAGGUUGCGGUGAGCCGAGAUUGCGCCACUGCAUUCCAGCCUGAGCAACACAGCAAGACUCCGUCUCAAAAAAAGAAAAGAAAGAAAAUACUUAGAUUUUCUUGAAACCACUGAGCCUUAUAUUUAAGUGUAAUCAGAGAGGUUAUCUCACAAUUUCUUUUGCUCUAGAAAAUUGCACAAAUAUUAAUGUAAACUAUUUCAAUUCUGUAAGAAAAUCAGGGAGGACUUAUACUUGCCAAAGAUGGUAUUCUAAAACAAAUUAACUACCUGAAUAUUAGAGAGCUACUUUGAUUCUGACGGUCUUAUGAAAUUGUAAGAAAAUUUAAAUGGCAUAAUAUGCAAGUAAAGUAGAAUUGGUUUCUUUGUGUUCUGAUUUCAACUUCAUUUUUUAAAUGCAGUAUUUGAUCUUUACAUUAAUUUUUUUCUAGAAGUGUAGUGAAAUUAAUGUUUUCAUUUGCGUAUCUACAAUGCCAUAUGAAAAUAUAUGGUAUCUUUUUUCAUCCAACAUUUCAAUGACAUACCUUACAAUUUAGCUAUAGAUAUUAAAUCACAUUAAAAUCUACAUAAUAAUACCAACAAUCAGUCUACAUUUUAUAUCAUAUCCACAUGAUACCAUAAAUAUUUUUGUUGAAAGUGAAGCUGAAACUGCUUAAAUAUUUUCUAUCUGAGAAAGAUAGCUCUUAGAAUUAGGCAGUAGUCUAUGCUACAGACAUGGAUCAAUUGGUUCCACCUGUGAAGGAGAGACAGGGUGCAGAUUAUGAACAAGGCUGCACAUGUCACUUUUCAAAUUUGAGAGGAUACAACACUGGAAGGCGUAAACAAUGUAAUAGUUGAUGACAAAAUUGAGAUUCAGGUUAUCUCAAAAGACUGGAAUGCUGAGUGAAUACCAAGAACAUGGAAUCUGAUAAAAACUAAUCUCAAGGCAUGCUUUAGAUUAAAAAAGAGAGAGAGAGAGAGAAAAAGAAAUGUAAAGUAGUAAAUACUGCAGACAGUAGUUUGUGGUUAUCAGACCUGACUUGGCUGUAACUCAAUAAUCACCAACAGUGCCAAGAAGCUGCUAAAAAGAAAAGCAUAUGUUGCCUUAAUAAAAG